CGUACAACAGGAGGUCGGUAGCCGGACGGCGGGCGGGACUGCUGUAGGCCGAGACGUUGCGGGGAGGGGCCGACGGCGAGACAGGGGGGCGCGGGUGGAGGUGCUGCGUGCUGCGAGGAGGUGCGGGGAGAGGAGGGGUAGGACGGCGGUGGCCGGAAUCAAGACGACGGCGACGGAGACGUGCGGGUCGUUGGUGGGUGGCGAGGGGGUGAGCGGCGGCAGGCCGGUGAGAGGGGGAGAGAGGAAGUGGAGGAGGAUGGAGGGGAAGAUAUGUCGCGUGGCCGCGUGGGGAUGGAGGCGUGUGCGUGUGCUGUGACGAGGAGGAGAGGAGAGGAGGGCGGCGGCGGCUGUCCAGGGAGGGAGUUCGUGUUCUUU
rnacentral:rRNA from 1 species